AUGGCGCUCGUGCCCAGCGCCGACGACCAGGCCGCGGCCUGCAAGGCCACCAUCCCCUGGUCCGAGAUGUUCCGCUCCGCCUCCGUCCGCCGCCCCAAGCAGGCGGAGGACCCGCCCAAGCCCGCGCCCUCGCCGACGGGGAAGAAGGCGGCGCCGCCGGCCGAGGCCGAGGGGCUGUCCCUCGAGCCGGACGCUCGCCUGGCGCUCUACAUCGCCAUGGCGCACGCGGGGCUCGCCACGGCGCUGCUCGUGCUCUACGGCCUCUACAUGCUGCUCGCCGACUUCCUCCGCCCGCUGCAGUGGGCGCUGCUCUGCUCGGUCCCGCUCCGCGAGACGCAGCACGCGCUCGUCGCCUUCUGGGAGCCGCCGCUCCGCGGCGGGUUCAGCGCCACCGUGCUCGCGCUCCCGCUCGCCGCUCUGCGUUCCUGCGCGGCCACCCUCGCCGACGCGCGCGCCGCGCUGAUGCGCCGCCCGCUGCCGCCGUCGCCGUCCUUCCCGCGCCUCCUGCGCUGGCUCGCCUCAUCCUUCUUCUUCCUCCUCCUGCUCGAGCGCCUCGGCACCGCCGCCGCGCUGCUCCUCCUCGGCGUCUCCCUCGCCUUCUACGCCGCCUCUCCCAAGCCCUCCUCUUUCAUCCCCCGUGCCGCCUCCUCCCGCAUCUCCGGUCGAACACCUUCGUCCCGCGGCCUCCUCCUCACCGGCGGCAUCCUCCGCCACCUCAGGACCCUCGUCGCCGUCGGCCUCAUGCUUGGCAUGAUUGCUGGCUUCCUAGGAGGCAGCUUCUUCUUCUCCUACAAGAUCGGACUCGAGGGCAAGGAUGCCGUCAUGUCCCUCAAGUCCCAUGUCGAGAAUGGCAACUACUCUGAAAAGAUUGGCCUCAAGAAGUUGCUUGACGACAAUGACAUCCCGGGCUUGGUGGAGCAGUACUCAGGGAAGCUCGUCGAAACCGUUUGGGAGCAGGUAGACCAAUUGGCUGUACAAUACAACCUUACUGAUUUCACUAGUGGAUUCAAGCACUUCUUGAUCAGCCAAUCAGUCCCAUCUGGUGCCAAGAGCAAGGAGCUCAUCACUUCUAGACCGCACCCGUACUCGCUAAAGCUGCAGGCUAUUACGCUGCGUGUGAAGAACAGGGAGUGGUUGGAGAUCUACAGGGAGCUGGACUCAUUCUUCAGGGAGCUGUUAAUCACAAGGGAGGAUCUAGUGGUGAAGGCCAAGGACCUGGCUUUGCAGGGCACAGAGAUUGCAAAGAGUCUGCUAUCUAGCGGCACCUCUGUGCUCGGUGGUAGUGCCAAUUUGAUGCUAUCCAUUGCUCUCCGCAUUCUCUCCGGUGCAGCAGAGGUGCUCAAUUUUGUGUCACAGCUGAUGGUCUUUAUGUGGGUGCUGUACUACCUCAUCACCGUUGAGGGUGGCGGGGCAACGGAGCAGGUCAUUGACCUCUUACCGGUGUCCAAACAAGUAAAGGAGCGUUGCGUCGAGGUUAUAGACCAUGCCAUUAGCAGUGUCUUGUUAGCCACUGCCAAGAUUGCUAUAUUCCAAGGAAUCCUGACAUGGCUGUUGCUCAAGUUCUUCAAGGUGCAUUUUGUGUACACAGCAACUGUGUUUACAAUCAUCAGUGCACUUUUUCCAAUACUACCAGCAUGGCUGUCCUCCAUAUUUGCCGCAGCGCAACUGCUGACGGAAGGGAGAUAUGUCCUCGCGGUUAUGGUUACGGUGAUACACCUUGUGAUCAUGGAUUAUGGAACCACGGUCAUUCAGGAGGAUAUACCUGGGUACAAUGGGUAUCUGACUGGCCUUAGCAUAAUCGGUGGCAUGACAUUAUUUCCCAAUGCUCUCGAGGGUGCAAUAUUAGGCCCUCUUAUUAUGACGGUUGUGAUAGCAUUGAAGAACCUGUACACAGAGUUUGUGCUUGCUGAUACAGAGGAGAUGAACAGCUAG
rnacentral:rRNA from 1 species